rnacentral:rRNA from 1 species
CCUACGGGCGGCAGCAGUGAGGAAUAUUGGUCAAUGGACGAGAGUCUGAACCAGCCAAGUAGUGUGAAGGAUGACUGCCCUAUGGGUUGUAAACUUCUUUUAUAUGGGAAUAAAAUGUUCCACGUGUGGGAUUUUGUAUGUACCAUAUGAAUAAGGAACGGCUAACUCCGUGCCAGCAGCUGCGGUAAUACGGAGGAUCCGAGCGUUAUCCGGAUUUAUUGGGUUUAAAGGGAGCGUAGGUGGAUUGUUAAGUCAGUUGUGAAAGUUUGCGGCUCAACCGUAAAAUUGCAGUUGAAACUGGCAGUCUGGAGUACAGUAGAGGUGGGCGGAAUUCGUGGUGUAGCGGUGAAAUGCUGAGAUAGCACGAAGAACUCCGAUUGCGAAGGCAGCUCACUGGACUGCAACUGACACUGAGGCUCGAAAGUGUGGGUAUCAAACAGGAUUAGAUACCCGUGUAGUC